GGCACCCAUAAUUAUCUACUGGAGUCUGAGCCUCUCAAUAAUCUUGAUAAUGAUGAAUAUUUGCUAUUUUAUUAUUGAUAAUUUAAUCCCUUUAUUCAUGUUUCAUAAUGAUAUGUGUUCUUGGUUCUGGCCAGAAGUAACUCGAUUGCAUUUUAUUUCUUAAUACUUUGCUUUAAAAGCUUGAAGCGUACUUCGCUGCCUUCACCCUAUUGCAAGCUUACUUUGUGAAUUGCAGUCAUAGGUUCAUAAUUCUAAUCAGGUUGAAUACUUGAAAUAAGUGAUUUGUCCUUUCCCCAAUAUUUGCUUUUAAAUGAAUUAUUUUCAUUUUUAGGAGAAUUAAGGAGUUGAAGACAGACAUUGAUGUUCCUGAUGACGUUAUUAAUCAAUUCAAGAACUUCUGGUUGAAUUUCAAAGAUACACCUUUAAAAGGGAGGAAUGCCAUUCUGCGAGGUAUAUGCCCACAGAUUUUUGGACUCUUUACUGUAAAGCUUGCAGUUGCAUUAACACUUAUUGGAGGUGUGCAACAUGCUGAUGCUUCUGGGACGAAAGUUCGAGGAGAGUCUCAUUUGCUUCUGGUUGGUGAUCCAGACAUCUAGAUGAAAACAAGUAACCUAAU